rnacentral:rRNA from 1 species
AUUGAGCGCUGGCGGCAUGCCUUACACAUGCAAGUCGAACGGCAGCGGACCUUCGGGUGCCGGCGAGUGGCGAACGGGUGAGUAAUAUAUCGGAACGUACCUUUCAGUGGGGGAUAACGUAGCGAAAGUUACGCUAAUACCGCAUAUUCUGUGAGCAGGAAAGCAGGGGAUCGCAAGACCUUGCGCUGAUUGAGCGGCCGAUAUCAGAUUAGCUAGUUGGUGAGGUAAAGGCUCACCAAGGCGACGAUCUGUAGCGGGUCUGAGAGGAUGAUCCGCCACACUGGAACUGAGACACGGUCCAGACUCCUACGGGAGGCAGCAGUGGGGAAUUUUGGACAAUGGGCGCAAGCCUGAUCCAGCCAUGCCGCGUGAGUGAAGAAGGCCUCGGUUGUAAG